rnacentral:pre_miRNA from 1 species
AAUAAGUGUAGCCGUGGAUAUCCGUGCUCAACGUUUGACUGUCCGUCUUAUUUGAAAAUUUUUCAAAAAACUUGAAAAUAUUUAGUCACACAUAAAGUAUUAUUCAUGUUUUAUCAUCUAAUAGCAAUAAAAAUACUAAUCAUAAAAAAAUUUCAAAUAAAAUGAACGGUCAAACGUUGAACAUGAAUAGUGCAAAACUGCACUUAUU